UUUUUUUUUAAACAUUAAUAGUAAAAGUAACUACGGCGCCCCUAUAUUUGCUUUCUAUCGCGAAUAGUUACGUCCAGUGAUAGAACACGCAUUUUAUAACCAAACCUUUAUUUUUAAUAUCGUAAACUAAUGACGAAAUAUCAUAACAACGGUAUUGUUUAAAAGAAAAUUACGUUACGGCACGAAAACCAUAAAGGAUCA